rnacentral:rRNA from 1 species
CUGCUGCCUCCCGUAGGAGUUUGGGCCGUGUCUCAGUCCCAAUGUGGCCGUCCACCCUCUCAGGCCGGCUACUGAUCGUCGCCUUGGUGGGCCGUUACCCCGCCAACAAGCUAAUCAGACGCGGGUCCAUCUUACACCACCGGAGUUUUUCACACAAAUCCAUGCGGCUUCGUGCGCUUAUGCGGUAUUAGCACCUAUUUCUAAGUGUUAUCCCCCAGUGUAAGGCAGGUUACCCACGCGUUACUCACCCGUCCGCCACUAAGUA